UUUUUUCGUAACCGCAUGGUAGAUACUUGAAAGGAGCAAUUGCUUCACUAUGAGAUGGACCUGCGUUGUAUUAGCUAGUUGGUGAGGUGACGGCUCACCAAGGCAUCGAUACAUAGCCGACCUGAGAGGGUGAUCGGCCACACUGGGACUGAGACACGGCCCAGACUCCUACGGGAGGCAGCAGUAG
rnacentral:rRNA from 1 species